rnacentral:tRNA from 1 species
CGCGGGGUAGAGCAGUCCGGUAGCUCGUUUGGCUCAUAACCAAAAGGUCGGUGGUUCAAAUCCACCCCCCGCAACCA